GUGCUCACUUCGGCAGCACAUAUGCUAAAAUUGGGACGAUACAGAGAUUAGCGUGGUCCCUGCCAAGGAUGACACGCAAAUUUGUGAAGCAUUCCAUAUUUUA
ensembl:snRNA U6 U6 spliceosomal RNA